rnacentral:rRNA from 1 species
UGAGGAAUCUUGCGCAAUGGGGGAAACCCUGACGCAGCAACGCCGCGUGAGUGAGGAAGGUCUUCGGAUCGUAAAGCUCUGUCGGGUGGAAAGAAAUGUAUGGGGUUAACAGCCUUCAUACUUGACGGUACCACCAAAGGAAGCACCGGCUAACUCCGUGCCAGCAGCCGCGGUAAUACGGGGGGUGCAAGCGUUGUUCGGAAUUAUUGGGCGUAAAGAGCGUGUAGGCGGCUUGGUAAGUCAGACGUGAAAGCCCUGGGCUUAACCCGGGAAGUGCGUUUGAAACUGCUUGGCUAGAGUAGGGGAGAGGGAAGUGGGAUUCCUGGUGUAGAGGUGAAAUUCGUAGACAUCAGGAGGAACACCGGUGGCGAAGGCGACUUCCUGGCCCUAUACUGACGCUGA